rnacentral:tRNA from 6 species
GCCGGGGUGGCGAAAUUGGUAGACGCGCACGACUCAAAAUCGUGUGCCGCAAGGCAUUGAGGGUUCGAUUCCCUCCCCCGGCACCA